ACCCCCCUCCCGCCCCAACACAAAAGCAGAUUUAAAUGUUUAAUAUGUAACCUGUAUAGUCUACUUUAUGUAACCUGUACAGUCUACUUUAUGUAACCUGUAUAGUCUACUCUAUGUAACCUGUAUAGUCUACUUUAUGUAGCCUGUAUAGUCUACUUUAUGUGACCUCUAUGUCUACUUUAUGUGACCUCUCUCGUCACUUUAUGUACUGUUAGUCUUACUUUAUGUAACCUGUAUAGGUCUACUUUAUGUCGCCUGUAUAGUCUACUUUAUGUGACCUCUAUAGUCUACUUUAUGUAACCUGUUAUAGUCUACUUCUGUAACCUGUAUAGUCUACUUUAUGAACCUGUAUCGUCUACUUUAUGUAC
rnacentral:lncRNA from 1 species